rnacentral:rRNA from 1 species
AGGACGAACGCUGGCGGCGUGCUUAACACAUGCAAGUCGAGCGGUGAUCCUCCUUCGGGAGGUGAUCAGCGGCGAACGGGUGAGUAACACGUGGGCAACCUGCCCCUCACACUGGGAUAACCUCGGGAAACCGGGGCUAAUACCGGAUACGACCUCGAGCGGCAUCUCUUGAGGUGGAAAGCUCCGACGGUGAGGGAUGGGCCCGCGGCCUAUCAGCUUGUUGGUGGGGUAAUGGCCUACCAAGGCGACGACGGGUAGCCGG